rnacentral:lncRNA from 1 species
UGAUGACUCCUUGAUCCUGGACUUUUAGCCUCUAGGACUGUGAGAAAAUAAAUUUCUGUAGUUAAGCCACCUAGUCCAUGGUAUUUCAUUAUAGCAGCCCUAGAAGACUAAUACAGAAGGGAAACUUUCUUGAUGUGUAGUGUUUUGUACUAUUGGAAUAUCUUUACCAUGUAUAUCAGUUUUUCAAUUAAAACAAUGGUAGAGGCA